rnacentral:tRNA from 1 species
GGUCCUGUAGUUCAGUUGGUCAGAACGUUGGUCUUAUGAGCCGAAGGUCGCGGGUUCAAGCCCCGCCAGGACCA